rnacentral:rRNA from 1 species
UACGAACUGUGCAAACGUUAUUCGGAAUCACUGGGCUUAAAGGGUGCGUAGGCGGUCGUGUAAGUAGGGUGUGAAAGCCCCUGGCUCAACCAGGGAAUUGCGCCCUAAACUGUGCGACUGGAGUGAGAUAGGGGUGUGCGGAACUUCCAGUGGAGCGGUGAAAUGUGUUGAUAUUGGAAGGAACGCCGGUGGCGAAAGCGGCACACUGGGUCUCAACUGACGCUGAGGCACGAAAGCCAGGGGAGCAAACGGG